GGGGCGGUAGCUCAGCUGGUCAGAGCAGCGGACUCAUAACCCGCCAGUCGUCGGUUCAAGUCCGACCCGCCCCA
rnacentral:tRNA from 1 species